GCGGCCAUGGUUAAGUGGUAUAAUGCGUCCUUGCCAAGGACGAGUUGGGAGUUCGAUUCUCCCUGGCCGCACAA
rnacentral:tRNA from 2 species